ACUCCUACGGGGAGGCAGCAGUAGGGAAUCUUCCACAAGUGGGCGCAAGCCUGAUGGAGCAACACCGCGUGAGUGAAGAAGGGUUUCGGCUCGUAAAGCUCUGUUAGUUAAAGAAGAACACGUAUGAGAGUAACUGUUCAUACGUUGACGGUAUUUAACCAGAAAGUCACGGCUAACUACGUGCCAGCAGCCGCGGUAAUACGUAGGUGGCAAGCGUUAUCCGGAUUUAUUGGGCGUAAAGAGAGUGCAGGCGGUUUUCUAAGUCUGAUGUGAAAGCCUUCGGCUUAACCGGAGAAGUGCAUCGGAAACUGGAUAACUUGAGUGCAGAAGAGGGUAGUGGAACUCCAUGUGUAGCGGUGGAAUGCGUAGAUAUAUGGAAGAACACCAGUGGCGAAGGCGGCUACCUGGUCUGCAACUGACGCUGAGACUCGAAAGCAUGGGUAGCGAACAGGAUUAGAUACCCUGGUAGGAUAGCG
rnacentral:rRNA from 1 species